rnacentral:piRNA from 1 species
UAGAGCUAAAGUAGAACAGACCAUGAG